UGAGAUGGAGGAAGUAAUUAUUAUCGUUCUUGCUUACUAAUUAAAGUCAAAUUUAGUUAUCUUUAUAUAGUUGUUCGCUAUCUAUAUCUGAUGUCGCAAGUACAUAGUGCAACUCAUGUGUAUAUUAUUGACUAUUGAGCAAUACCGUAUCUUGAAAAACAAAAAUAUAUAAAUUCAGCUGUCAUCUAAUUGUUAAAAUCUAUUUAGACUAAUAAGCUUAAUUAGGAUCCCCU
rnacentral:lncRNA from 1 species